CUGGAGUGUUGCGUUAAUCUAGUCGAUUAAAACCACAUUAAGUGUCCUCAGUGUCGCAUAUUCACUCCGGUUAGUGCCGGGCAAAUCUCUGUGAAUUAGGAUCUCCAAACCGAUCACGAUUUGAUGGCCCUACUUUUGCAAACAAAAAAAAUUUAUUAACACAGAGAAAUUUAUUAUCACAGAGACAUUCACCUGUAUCUGCCACUGGCACGAUAAAAUCGAUAUUAAUUGUUGGAAAUGGUUAUAGGAAUCUAUAGUGAUUCAGCUCCUCCUCCAGUGAGUGGGAUUUCAAAAAGGUGCAAGCCGUGGCCGCUAGAUGGCGUUUGUGGAUGGUGAUUAUUUUCUGCGAAAUUAUGGCAACCGGUUUUACCAACAUUUAUUUUUUCUCUUUCCAAAAAAAAAAAAAAAAUCUCUACUCUUUCGCCAUCUAGCGGUCGAUCUUGAACUCGGUUUCCCAAGUGAUUUAUUCCCUUUGUGUGACAUUGCACUAUUGCAGUUGCAGUCGAAGUCCUCGCGUUGCUGAGUCCCUCAAACAGCCUGCUGAUUUCUGAGCACAACAUCAAUCUUAAGUGAUUUCGUCGGCCGAAAGCGUCAGACGUUGAAUUCUGAGCACAGCAUCACCAUGGCUCAAAAUUAUUUGGUCGGCCGAAAGCGUCAGACAUUGAAUUCACCAUCUGAUAAGGGUAUGAAGGUGAAUUCCAUCAGUGCUGUACUUAAACAUUCUCUGUCAGUAGUUCCAUGUCCAGACGGGACAGAACAUCUAUGGGAUAGAAUCAUAUGCUACGUUGGACUUGGUUAUUCAGUGAGAAGAAUAACGUGAGCUGUACUUAAACAUUCUCUGUCAGUAGUUCCAUGUCCAGACGGGACAGAACAUCUAUGGGAUAGAAUCAUAUGCUACGUUGGACUUGGUUAUUCAGUGAGAAGAAUAACGUGAGAAGAAUAACAACACACAACAUUUCUCAUUAGACUUGCAGUUAGGGAUGACGACUUCAAAGACAAAACAUCUGGAACAGGUUGGAAAGAAUUGCUUCUCGUUCCUUCCAACAACCGGCUUUUCGUAACAACUGUUUCUAUCUCUCGUUUCACCAUGUUGAAUUCAACUUGACCGACAUCAGCAGUACUGCAGGAGCGACGCUUUCACUUUCAGAGCCUCAGGAACGCGAGGACUUCGACUGCAGUAUCACACAAAGAGACAGUGUUGCCACGAAAAAAAUCAUGAUCGGGAUCGUUUACUGUUAUAUUAAAGUCUGUUGGAGACAAUGUUGUCAUAACAUGCUUCAAAACUCUCCCUGUAACAAUUUCCCCUCCACUUUCUUUAAUGUAACUUUGCAAUUCUUCUACACAAAGAGAAAUACAGAUGGGAAAUAACAAA